UAAUACGUAGGGGGCAAGCGUUGUCCGGACUUACUGGGCGUAAAGCGCGCGCAGGCGGAUUGGUAUGUGCCGUGUGAAAGCUCCCAGCUUGCCUGGGAGAGGUCGCGGUAGACAGCCGAUCUGGAGGCUCGGAGAGGUCAGUGGAAUUCCCGGUGUAGUGGUGAAAUGCGUAGAUAUCGGGAGGAACACCAGUGGCGCAAGCGGCUGACUGGCCGAGACCUGACGCUGAGGCGCGACGGCGUGGGGAGCAAACCGGAUUAGAUACCCGGGUAGUCCACGCAGUAAACGAUGCACACCCGGUGUCGGACCGACCCUUUAGGUCGGUGCGGUGCCCAAGCUUACGCGAUGAGUGUGCCGCCUGGGGACUACGAGCGCAAGCUUA
rnacentral:rRNA from 1 species